rnacentral:lncRNA from 1 species
GUUAUCUUCAAUCUUCUUCAUCGCUGAUUCUGUGGUAAGGGGGUACUUGAGAAUUUGGUACUGAUCAAGCUUGUUCCUUCCGGUAGUGCUGAUUCGUGGGUACUUGGGGUCCCUAGCCUUCUUCAGGGUCGUGGGGCGGUGAAAUGUCACAGACGUGCGGAUCUUCUUGGUCUUCUUCUUGGCUGCCCCAGACUUCACAGCCUUGGCAACCUUCAAGGCCUGGGUC